UACGGAGGGUGCAAGCGUUAUCCGGAUUCACUGGGUUUAAAGGGUGCGUAGGUGGGUUGGUAAGUCAGUGGUGAAAUCUCCGUGCUUAACAUGGAAACUGCCAUUGAUACUACUGAUCUUGAAUUUUCAGGAGGUAAGCGGAAUAUGUCAUGUAGCGGUGAAAUGCUUAGAUAUGACAUAGAACACCAAUUGCGAAGGCAGCUCACUACGGAUUGAUUGACACUGAGGCACGAAAGCGUGGGGAUCAAACAGG
rnacentral:rRNA from 1 species